AAGCCCUUAACAAAAUGCUUUACUCUCAUAAUAAAUAUUGAUGGGAGGCAUAGGAGUAGGCCACAAAUUUAUAUCUAAUAGCAAAUUCCUAAUCUAUUCAGCCUCUCUCCUAAUUGCACCUAAGGCAAUAAACUCAGAUUCCAUUGUUGAAUGUGAUAUACAUGCACUGUUUCUUACUUGCCCAGGAAAUAGCCCCUCCACCA
rnacentral:lncRNA from 1 species